GACCAUACCACGUUGAAACACCGGUUUUCGUACGAUCUCUGAAGAUAAACAACGUCGAACCUGAUCAGUACCUAGAUGGGUGACUUCUGGGGGAAACUAGGUGCCGUAA